GUAUUAAUUUGUAUCGUUUACUUUCAAAAAUUAUAUACAUUGUUUACUUUUUAUGUAACAUGACCAUAAAUGUACAAACAUAACAUGAUUUGGAAGAUCAGAUAUUUUAAAUACAAAAGUCAUGCAUCAAACAACUCCAAAGUGUAAUGUGAAACCGUGUUCGAACAACGAUGUUCCACCUUCAUCAGUAGUUCGCGCUUGUCUUGGUCCAUCUUUGGCACAGGUGUUUUUCAAUUAUACUCAUCAUGAUACGAUAAAGUUGUUGGAUGUAUUGACACCAUCGAAAACAUCAAAAGCAUGCUUUCCAAUUCCAUCUGACCAUCAUUUACCCAAAACCAAAUUCAUGCCAUCAACAGAUUAUCAAAUCGUAAGAGCAUCCGUGCACCAAAAUAUAUUAGAAAUUGGUGAAGCUCUCUUAGGACGUGUGAAAAAAGAAAUUGAAGAAAAUCUAAAGGACAAAAUAGAGAGGCAAUCGCGAGAGAAAUUUUAUAUGUAUCAAGCGAAAAAAAGGCAAGAAGCUGAGCUGCACGUUCAACAGUUGCAUGAAAAAUACGAAAAUUAUAUUGAAACUGUCCGACGUGAAUUACAGAAACAACUUGAAAGAGAAUGGUCUAAAGCAGCCGCAGAAUGUGCUAAGAACACUCAAAAAGCAGUUGUACAAGAACGAAUAAACGUGACUAACGAAGUGAAACGAAAAAUGCGCGCAGAAAUGAUUCACGUUGUCCUAUCGUUGUACAAAGAAUUUGAAAAGCUGUUUUGCGCCAAAAGGGACGAUAUAAUUGCCGAUUUUAAUCAGAUAAUGAGGGAGCAGCAUGUGAAAUUGAAAAAAGAAAUGCUGGACUUUAAAGAGAAGAUGAGCAGAGAUUUACAUAUUCAGAGACAUCAGUUUGAAAUACAAAAUGCCGCAGAUUUAAUCUAUAUCAUCUGUGUGGAACGAUUACGAAGUAACAAAGAGAAGCAUAUCAUGCAUGAAUACUUUCAGCAACAAAUCAAUGAAUUUUAUGAAUUAAUGGUCCGCUUAAAAGAUAUAAUUACCAUCAUGAAAAAAGAAAUUGUCGAUUGUCAUAUGGAGAAGAAAUUAUUGGGCGAAAAGCUUUGUAAAGUUACUAAACAUUUUCAGAAGUUUAUUAAUUUUGUGUUUCAUGCCAUACCGGGCCAAGCAGACUAUCUAUUACCGUUAUGAUUGCAACAUUUGAUUAACUCAAAUAAGGGUAAAGAAAAGAACAGAAGAAAUGGGAAGAUAGUAGGAAAACAGAAAAGAUUAUAA